rnacentral:rRNA from 1 species
UACGGGGGGGGCAAGCGUUGUUCGGAAUUACUGGGCGUAAAGGGCUGGUAGGCGGCCAACUAAGUCGGAUGUGAAAUCCCCAGGCUUAACCUGGGAACUGCAUCCGAUACUGGUCGGCUUGAAUCCGGGAGAGGGAUGCAGAAUUCCAGGUGUAGCGGUGAAAUGCGUAGAUAUCUGGAGGAACACCGGUGGCGAAGGCGGCAUCCUGGACCGGUAUUGACGCUGAGGCGCGAAAGCCAGGGGAGCAAACGGG